rnacentral:rRNA from 1 species
GAUGAACGCUGGCGGCGUGCUUAACACAUGCAAGUCGAACGGAAACGCCCCUGCUUGCUGGCGUUUUCGAGUGGCGAACGGGUGAGUAAGAGGUGGGUGAGCUGCCCUGCACUUCGGCACAUGCCUGGGAAACUGGGACUAUUACAGGAUAGGACGAUGAUUUGCAUGGCAUUCUGGAGAGUUUGUUCGGUGUUGGAUGAGCUCGCGGCCUAGCUGCUUGUGGUUGGGGUGAUGGCCCAGUAAGGCGUCGCCGGGGAGCCGCCCUGAGAGGGGGUAUGGCAAAAUGGGGACUGAGAUACGGCCCAGACCAGUACGGGAGGCAGCAGUGGGGAAUAUUGCACGAUGGGCGCAAGCAUGAUGCAGCAACGCCGCGUGGGGGAUGAUGGCCUUCGGGUUGUAAGCACCAUUCGCUGGGGAGGGAGCGUUAGUGACGGUACCUGAAGAAGAAGCACCGGCUAAUUACGUG